rnacentral:rRNA from 1 species
CGGCUCAGUAACACGUGGAUAAUCUGCCCUAUGGUGGAGGAUAACCCCGGGAAACUGGGGAUAAUACUCCAUAAGUCAGGAGUACUGGAAUGUCUCCUAACUGAAAGUUUCGGCGCCAUAGGAUGAAUCUGCGGCCGAUUAGGUAGUUGUUGGGGUAACGGCCCAACAAGCCCGUAAUCGGUACGGGUUGUGGGAGCAAGAGCCCGGAGAUGGAAUCUGAGACACGAUUCCAGGCCCUACGGGGCGCAGCAGGCGCGAAAACUUUACAAUGCAGGAAACUGUGAUAAGGGAACCCCGAGUGCCCGUACACGCGGGCUGUCCCGGUGUUUAAAACACAUCGGAAGAAAGGGCCGGGCAAGACCGGUGCCAGCCGCCGCGGUAAUACCGGCGGCUCGAGUGGUGACCACUUUUAUUGGGCUUAAAGCGUUCGUAGCUUGAUUUUUAAGUCUCUUGGGAAAUCUCACGGCUUAACUGUGAGGCGUCUAAGAGAUACUGGGAAUCUAGGGACCGGGAGAGGUAAGAGGUACUUCAGGGGUAGAAGUGAAAUUCUGUAAUCCUUGAGGGACCACCGGUGGCGAAGGCAUCUUACCAGAACGGCUUCGACAGUGAGGAACGAAAGCUGGGGGAGCGAACGGGAUUAGAUACCCCGGUAGUCCCAGCCGUAAACUAUGCGCGUUAGGUGUGCCUGUAACUACGAGUUACCGGGGUGCCGAAGUGAAAACGUGAAACGUGCCGCCUGGGAAGUACGGUCGCAAGGCUGAAACUUAAAGGAAUUGGCGGGGGAGCACAAUCUCAAGGUCCU